CCGAACUUGAGGAGGAGCUCGCCGAGCUUGGGAAGAUCUCUACCGAGCCUGGCCACCGAACCUGGUACCUGCAAACUGGAGGGGGGUGUUCCUCCGGGGAGAAGCUCCGACGAACAAGUCAGUAAGUGGAGAAAAGAGAAGUUUAGUAAGAGCGUAUGGGGAGAAAGAGAGAGAGAGAGGCAUGUUCCUCUUCUCUUUUUCUAGACCCUUUCAUAUGAGGGGGUGGUCUUGUAUUUAUAAGCAAGGCUUAGAGUGUUGAACCGGUAGGCGGUACACCCACGUGCAUCGUACUGUUCGGAUGACGUCACAUGUCCAAAGAUUUGUUUUAUCACACCUGUCCGCCACCUGUUCAUAGAAGCACUACAAGAAAUUUGAUCAACACCAGCGCUUUUUCUACCAGCGCUUGCAAAAAGCGCUACAACAGGAGGUCUAUGCCAGCGUUUUUCUUAGCCGCUGCUAGAAUGGGGAUUUUCCAGCGUUCAAAUCAAAAGCGCUGGAAUAGACCGACCCUUUUCUAGCGCCCAAGCAAAAGCGCUGGCAUAGGCCCAUCAUUUACCAGCGUUUAGAAAAAGCGCUGGAAUAGACUCCUUAUUUCCCAGCGUCCCAGGAAAAAGCGUGGGAGUAGACCCAAUAAAAAAAUAAAUUGAUUGACAAAAAUCUAAUAAUAUUACUAUAUGUUAUACAUUUUUAAUACUCUUCGAUCAAAUGUGUAGCGAUACUCGAUCAACUUCAUUCUUGGUACGAUCGAUGAAUUACGUAAUAUGUAAAAGACGAACAGUUCGGAUCGAAAAAUAAGACUCUUGUGGGGGUUGGGUUGCGAUCUAAUACUUUAAUGCCUAGGGAUGCAUCAAAUGUUGUCCGAUUAGGCGGUCGUCGAUAUCCAAUGAUCUCCGAUUUUGGUGACAAUGACGGAAUAAAUGAGACGUGAAAUCCUAAUGGUUCAGAUCGACCACUGUAAAAAUUGAUUUGGUAACGACCUUUAAAUUCUAUA